UACAGGGGGUGCAAACGUUGCUCGGAAUUAUUGGGCGUAAAGGGCUCGUAGGCGGCCAACUAAGUCAGACGUGAAAUCCCUCAGCUUAACUGGGGAACUGCGUCUGAUACUGGAUGGCUUGGAUUCGGGAGAGGAAUGCGGAAUUCCAGGUGUAGCGGUGAAAUGCGUAGAUAUCUGGAGGAACACCGGUGGCGAAGGCGGCAUUCUGGACCGAUAUUGACGCUGAGGAGCGAAAGCCAGGGGAGCAAACGGG
rnacentral:rRNA from 1 species